rnacentral:rRNA from 1 species
UACGAAGGGUGCAAACGUUGCUCGGAAUUAUUGGGCGUAAAGCGCACGUAGGCGGCUUAGUAAGUUGGAUGUGAAAUCCCUCGGCUCAACCAAGGAAGUGCAUCCAAAACUACUGAGCUUGAGUACUAAAGAGGAUCGCGGAAUUCCCGGUGUAGAGGUGAAAUUCGUAGAUAUCGGGAGGAACACCAGUGGCGAAGGCGGCGAUCUGGGUAGAUACUGACGCUGAGGUGCGAAAGCGUGGGGAGCAAACAGG